CAACUUUAUAAAAACCUGCACCAAAACCAGAUGGAUGAAAGGGAAGUGAACAGAUGAACAUGCAGAUUGUGAAACUCACUGUGAACAUCAGACAUCCAAACCACAGUCAGAGCAGCUGCUGAAGAUACAGACUUCCUCAGACAUCGUCCACACUCCAGGUGAGCACUGCAGG